rnacentral:rRNA from 1 species
UAGGGAAUCUUCCACAAUGGACGCAAGUCUGAUGGAGCAACGCCGCGUGAGUGAAGAAGGUUUUCGGAUCGUAAAGCUCUGUUGUUGGUGAAGAAGGAUAGAGGUAGUAACUGGCCUUUAUUUGACGGUAAUCAACCAGAAAGUCACGGCUAACUACGUGCCAGCAGCCGCGGUAAUACGUAGGUGGCAAGCGUUGUCCGGAUUUAUUGGGCGUAAAGCGAGCGCAGGCGGAAGAAUAAGUCUGAUGUGAAAACCCUCGGCUUAACCGAGGAACUGCAUCGGAAACUGUUUUUCUUGAGUGCAGAAGAGGAGAGUGGAAUUCCAUGUGUAGCGGUGGAAUGCGUAGAUAUAUGGAAGAACACCAGUGGCGAAGGCGACUCUCUGGUCUGCAACUGACGCUGAGGCUCGAAGGCAUGGGUAGCGAACAGG